GGAGUCAGCUGGACAAUUGCUGUUUGUUUUUACUUUGUUUUUCGCCUAACGAAAUACGAGGUUGCAGAUAGAGGAAAGUCCGGGCUCCAUAGAGCAGGGUGCCAGGUAACGCCUGGGGGGUGUGAACCCACGGCUAGUGCAGCAGAAAAUAUACCGCUUUUUUUUGAUCAGAAAGUAAGGGUGAAAUGGUGCGGUAAGAGCGCACCGCGCGACUGGUAACAGUUCGUGGCUAGGUAAACCCCACUCGGAGCAAGGCCAAAUAGGAAUUCAUUAAUGUUGCUCGCAUUGGAUUCGGGUAGGCCGCUAGAAGCCUGUGGUGACGCAGGUUGUAGAUGAAUAAUUGUCCUCGACAGAACCCGGCUUACAGGCUGACUCAUUUU
rnacentral:RNase_P_RNA from 1 species